UACGUAGGUGGCAAGCGUUAUCCGGAUUUACUGGGUGUAAAGGGCGUGUAGGCGGGAGUGCAAGUCAGAUGUGAAAACUAUGGGCUCAACCCAUAGCCUGCAUUUGAAGCUGUACUUCUUGAGUGCUGGAGAGGCAAUCGGAAUUCCGUGUGUAGCGGUGAAAUGCGUAGAUAUACGGAGGAACACCAGUGGCGAAGGCGGAUUGCUGGACAGUAACUGACGCUGAGGCGCGAAAGCGUGGGGAGCAAACAGG
rnacentral:rRNA from 1 species